UACGUAGGGUGCAAGCGUUGUCCGGAAUUAUUGGGCGUAAAGAGCUCGUAGGCGGUCUGUCGCGUCUGCUGUGAAAACUCGAGGCUCAACCUCGAGACGUCGGUUGAAACCGUAUGGCUAGAGUCCGGAAGAGGAGAGUGGAAUUCCCGGUGUAGCGGUGAAAUGCGCAGAUAUCGGGAAGAACACCUAUGGCGAAGGCAGCUCUCUGGGACGGUACUGACGCUGAGACGCGAAAGCGUGGGGAGCAAACAGG
rnacentral:rRNA from 1 species